rnacentral:rRNA from 1 species
AUCGUACGGGAGGCAGCAGUGAGGAAUAUUGGUCAAUGGGCGAGAGCCUGAACCAGCCAAGUCGCGUGAAGGAUGACGGCCCUAUGGGUUGUAAACUUCUUUUGCAGGGGAAUAAAGAUAUUCACGUGUGGGUAGUUGUAUGUACCCUGCGAAUAAGCAUCGGCUAACUCCGUGCCAGCAGCCGCGGUAAUCGAU